rnacentral:rRNA from 1 species
UACGUAGGGUGCGAGCGUUGUCCGGAAUUAUUGGGCGUAAAGAGCUCGUAGGCGGUCUGUCGCGUCGGUCGUGAAAACUUGGGGCUUAACCCUGAGCUUGCGGUCGAUACGGGCAUGACUGGAGUUCGGCAGGGGGAGACUGGAAUUCCUGGUGUAGCGGUGAAAUGCGCAGAUAUCAGGAGGAACACCGGUGGCGAAGGCGGGUCUCGUGGGCCGAGUGACUGACGCUGAGGAGCGAAAGCGUGGGGAGCAAACAGG